UAAAGUUUCAUUUACAUUUGACUUUUUUAAUUUUAGAAUAUAUUUAAUUUUUUGUGCUUUUGUCAUAGAUAUAUAUGUAUGUAUGUAUGUAUGUAUGUAUGUGUGUAUAUGUGUAUAUAUAUAUAUAUAUAUAUAUAUAUAUAUAUAUAUAUAUAUAUAUAUAUAUAUAUAUAUAUAUAUAUAUAUAUAUAUAUAUAUAUAUAUAUAUGACAAAAGCACAAAAAAUAAAACAUAUUCUAAAAUUAAAAUAAAGUAAUAUGUAAUAUGUUUAUUUCAUUUAGUUGCCAAAUUAACAUUUCAAAUUUUCAGUAUUAUUUUAGCGUUUUAUGAUUAAGUGUUUGAUCUUAUAUUUCAAUGUUAUUAUUAUUAUUUUAUUGGUUAAAUUUAUCUAAUUGUCGCAUUACCACUCCGCGCCUCGCUGUGGCACAUGCAUUUACUGUUUAUUUCCACGAAAAUCUGUUUGGGGACCAAGAAGAAAACCCGACUUCCGGAUAAAUAAAUAAUUCAAUGACAGUGGAAUAUCAAUAUCCAGUCAUACUGAUAAGUUUUUUUUUUAAAGAAUUUGGAUCACAAAUCUCAAUAACUUGUAUAUAAUCGACAUGAAUUCGCUUGUGGGAUACGGGCUUUCAUCCGAGUCAGAGGAUGAAGAGAAAGGAGAAGACAAGGCGAAUGAGUGCUUCAAAAAGACAGAAUGCACUGUAGAGAAGACAAAAAGCCGUAAUUUCCUGUUGGAGUCGGACUCGCCUUCCAGUGAGUCUGAAUCUGGUCCAGAGAAUGAGGAUCAAGAGGAGCCGCACGCAGCUGAUCGCUCCUUUCCCGAGCCACUCCUCUCCGUCCGUCCUCACACUCACAAGCUCCCUCCUCCACCUCUGGGAGGAUCCAGCUCGGGUGGAGCGCUUACAGGCAGCAGUGUGUUUGCUAAUCCAUUCAAAGAGCUGGCAGAGGAGAGACUGAAUGUCCUACAGAAACACGUUCCUCUUACUUUACAAGCGCGCCCCACCCAGAUUGAUGGUAAGCGCAUUUGUGUGGCCUACAGGAAGGAUGGCCGCUGCCGCUUUGGAAGCCGCUGCAAGUUCGCACAUGACAGCGAUCUGCAGAGUAACCGCGUGGUCACCUCAGACACUGGACCAAAAGACAAUGUUACAGUUCCACCACACGAUGAUGGUCUGCUGGCUCCUCGUAAGGAAGACGCAGAGACAGAUGGAGAGAAAGACAAUGAACAGCAAAAGAAGAGAAGAGUGGGGGUGAAUGAUUCUCUCAUUCCACCAAAACGUGCGCUCAAGCAGUAUGCCAGACUCUCACAACCAUAA
rnacentral:lncRNA from 1 species